CACGUAGGGCGCAAGCGUUGUCCGGAAUUAUUGGGCGUAAAGAGCUCGUAGGUGGUUUGCUGCGUCCGCUGUGAAAACCCAAGGCUUAACCUUGGGCUUGCAGUGGAUACGGGCAGACUAGAGGUAGGUAGGGGAGAAUGGAAUUCCCGGUGUAGCGGUGAAAUGCGCAGAUAUCGGGAGGAACACCGGUGGCGAAGGCGGUUCUCUGGGCCUUACCUGACACUGAGGAGCGAAAGCGUGGGGAGCAAACAGG
rnacentral:rRNA from 1 species